rnacentral:rRNA from 1 species
UACGUAGGGUGCAAGCGUUGUCCGGAAUUAUUGGGCGUAAAGAGCUCGUAGGCGGUUUGUUGCGUCGGCCGUGAAAACCUGCAGCUUAACUGUGGGCCUGCGGCCGAUACGGGCAGACUUGAGUUCGGUAGGGGAGACUGGAAUUCCUGGUGUAGCGGUGAAAUGCGCAGAUAUCAGGAGGAACACCGGUGGCGAAGGCGGGUCUCUGGGCCGAUACUGACGCUGAGGAGCGAAAGCGUGGGGAGCGAACAGG